AAAAGAAAGCAAGGCAAGGCCCAUGUAUGUUGAAAGGCUGUCCAUGUCAGCGCACAUUACUGCUCCUCCUCCCUGAUCCGCGCGGUUGCCGGCGGCCGUCUUCCGCCUACCGCCAGCUCCAGCUCGAAAUGGACCUGCCGUCAAGCCGGAGGACCAGGCGGCGACAGGAGACCUCGAGCUCUGCCUCUUCUGACUCCUCCAUCCGCGCGCUCUGAGCGCGAGGGGGCAGGACGCGACCGGGGCGGGGGCUGGCUCCGGUCCAGCUCGUGCGGGUGGAGGUGGAGGACGGGGCCUUGGACGGCGCUGCCGCGUCUUCGGCUGUCCGGUGGAUUCUAGGAGGCGCCGUGCUAGCUGCGGAGAUCUCGGGCAUAGUCUUGGAUGUCAAUUCAUAUUGAAGAGCCCGAGCUGUUAUGCGCUUGUGGAAGGCCAGCAGAGUCGAAAACUGCUCGUGUCGACAGUAAUCCUGAUUGUCCCUUAUUCAAAGCCUGCCAUCCUGUAUGAGUCUUCCAUAUUGAGUUGUCCUCUUACUCUAGACAUUACAUUGAUUUUGUUCACGUGAUUUUCAGUUGCUUGCUGUUUCAUAAAUGGAAUAAGUCCAGUUUACCCCUCUAAACUUGUCAAGGAGUCUGGAAUA